CAGGAAGGGGAACAUCACACACCGGGGCCUAUCAUGGGGAGGGGGGAGGGGGGAGGGGGGAGGGAUUGCAUUGGGAGUUAUACCUGAUGUAAAUGACGAGUUGAUGGGUGCAGCACACCAACAUGGCACAAGUAUACAUAUGUAACAAACCUGCACGUUAUGCACAUGUACCCUACAACUUAAAGUAUAAUAAUAAUAAAUAAAUUUAUAAAAAAAAAAAAAAGAAAAUUCUGUUGUUGGUUAGUUUCUCAUAGUUGUCAAUAAGGCUAAAAUAGUUAACAACGCUGAAUUCUUGUAUUUCUGUGUCGUUCUGCAUCUUCUGAGAAUUGUUUGUGAAGAAAGAAUUAAUUGAAUAUUUAUUGGGGAAAGUACAUAUAAAAGAUAAAGUGGGAGGGGCAGGAGAAGAUGAGGAGAGCUUUCAGAGGACAAUACAGCUCUCAGAAUAAAGAGAGAAAAAAAAAAAUAAAGAAGGGAGAUUGGGUGGAGUGAGCCUCAGAUCACUGCACCGUUCUGAGAAAGCUUAGUCCAAGCUAAUGGAUAAUUAUUGAAAAGUGCUUGCCAAUUAGAGAAUUCCUCCGCUGGGCAAGAACAACCUACGCUGAUCAUGUGAGUCAUUUACUAUCGGCACGCUGGGAGAAGUGUGGCCAUGACGCUAAUCCAACAGUGGACCUGCAGGAGCAGCGGCUGUCGAGCAUCAGUCAAUGUUUUGCACACAGGUUCUCCUGAGUGGCACUCCGUCUCCACCAGGAUGCUGUUACUGCUCCUGUAUCACCAAAGCCGAUGCCCUAAAGAUCAGAGCUGCAGACACAAAGGAAGGCCAAUGCAUGAGAAGAAAUCAGUGGGAAAGGGAGUAAGAAUCGCAGUCCCACCUUGACGGCACUCUCAGGCAAGAGGCCGUCUCUUUCCGACGCUGUCAGGAGCACAGAGAGACUUGGGCAUAGGGUCAUUCAAAUGGCCUGAUACCAGAAAAGGGGGAAAGAUGUGCUUUCUUCAAGGAAAUGACUCCUCAGAGCACCCAGGAAGAGAAAGAUGAGAGAAGAAGGUCAGAAUCAAAGAAAUCAAAUCUGUUAUUAGGUCCAGAAGAAGAGCUCCUGACAACAGAAUCUGAUAUCAAAGGAUGAGAAACUGGGUUAAUGGUGACCAGAGCAAGAAGCAAGAAACAGAAACAAGAAGGAAAUAAGAGUGUCCAGCAUUCUCAGAGGUUCCCUUUCAUGGGUAAAACUUGCUUGGUGCUUGCACGCCUAAUUUUAAAGCCAGAGGAGCCAGUUUUCUCACAUUUAUAAUGUAAAUGUUAUAAUAUUUUUCCUCGUGAUUAGAUUUCAGGUAACCCUGAAAAGGUAGUCAGGAAUUAGUGUCUUUCUUUUCUCCUUCCUAAUAACAUGAUUUUCUCACUAUUUGUUUUACUGGAUUAAGUUUUCUAAACUUAGCAAAACCAAGAAACUUCUAGUUCAGAUUUCACUUAACGUUUUCUUUUAAUUCAACCAUCAGAGCAAUUUCCAAGAAGCAUAAUCUGACUUAAUGAUAUUGUAAUAGUUAGCAAAGUAUCUAGAUAUUAGGCACAGAAAACAGGCUCAUUGAAUAAGCAAAUGAACUUGCGACUAUAUCAGGUUUUAAGUGACUUAAAUGGUAGUCAGAGAUUUGGCUUCAUUAGGCAGAUACAGCACUUAUGUGCUACAUAGCUCUUGCUUUUAUGUGUAAGUCUGCUGAAUCAACAAAUGUGCUGAAGAAGAGAAUAAAUAUAUUGAAAUAAAUUACUAGAGUCAAACCAUUCCAUCAUUCAAAAGCACACAAAACUAAAAUAGAUGCAACACCUAUUAGGUGCCUACUGUGUGUCAGUUUAUGCCUGAAUAUGUGUGUUAACACUUAUAUCUCACAACCCUGAUGUCACUGUUACGAUAUUAUCUUCCUGUUAUGGAUGGGAAAUUAAAACGGUGACACAGAGCCGUGAAGCCACUUGCCUUACCAACUAGCACGUGGCAGGAGCAGGUUAGAGUUCCAGUUCCUGCGUCUCCUCUCCUCUGUGAUGCUGCAGAUGUUAGCUGUCCCUGUUCAGAGUCUGACAAAGCCAAACAGAAGCCAAUUCCAGUGCCAGGAUGCAGACCUCCAAAAUGGGUUCUGGCUCUAGAAACGCUAAUGAACCAUAGAGAAUUUGCUGAAGAUUUAGAAGGCAAGUUGGAUGAGAGGCUUUUUUUUUAUUUUUAUUUUUUCCCUCACAGCAAAUUACCUUGCAACCCUCCUUGGAUGCCUUUCUUCAUCCAAGGAUCUGGCCACGUUGCUGAACUGAUUGGGGCAAAAAGCUGAGUCAUGGUUUUCCCUUUCCCCUCUGAGUUCCUGCCUCAUGACACUGGCAAUUGCAGCUCCCAGAUCCAAUCCAGCUCCAAGCUCUCCCAACUUACCCUUUUCUCAUAGAGAGGGGAUUGCACUCUAUCCCAACUCCUCCAAACUUGCUUGGGCCUUCAAAAUGGGCCUUUAGUUACCGGAAGCCACUGCCUCUAAG
ensembl:lncRNA